rnacentral:rRNA from 1 species
UACGGAGGGUGCGAGCGUUGUCCGGAAUCACUGGGCGUAAAGGGCGCGUAGGCGGCGCGGGCAGUCAACGGUGAAAGCCUGGGGCUCAACCCCGGGUCGGCCGUGCGAACUGCUGGGCUUGAGCACUGUAGAGGCAGGCGGAAUUCCGGGUGUAGCGGUGGAAUGCGUAGAGAUCCGGAAGAACACCGGUGGCGAAGGCGGCCUGCUGGGCAGUUGCUGACACUGAGGCGCGACAGCGUGGGGAGCAAACAGG